AUUGAACGCUGGCGGCAGGCUUAACACAUGCAAGUCGAGCGAGCGGCGGACGGGUGAGUAAUGUCUGGGAAACUGCCUGAUGGAGGGGGGUAACUACUGGAAACGGUAGCUAAUACCGCAUACUACCAGAUGUGCCCAGAUGGGAUUAGCUAGUAGGUGGGGUAAUGGCUCACCUAGGCGACGAUCCCUAGCUGGUCAGAGAGGUUGACCAGCCACACGGGAACGGAGACACGGCCCAGACUCCAACGGAAGGCGGAGUAGGGGAAUAUUGCACAAGGGGCGAAAGCCGGAGACGGCCAUGCGGCGUGUGGGAAGAAGGCCUUGGGGUGGUAAAGCACUUUCAGCGAGGAGGUGUUACUCGCAGAGAAAGCACCGGCUAACUCCGUGCCAGCAGCCGCGGUAAUAC
rnacentral:rRNA from 1 species